AGAGUUUGAUCAUGGCUCAGGAUGAACGCUGGCGGCGUGCCUAACACAUGCAAGUCGAGCGAUUCUCUUCGGAGAAGAGCGGCGGACGGGUGAGUAACGCGUGGGUAACCUGCCCUGUACACACGGAUAACAUACCGAAAGGUAUGCUAAUACGAGAUAAUAUGCUUUCAUCGCAUGGUAGAAGUAUCAAAGCUCCGGCGGUACAGGAUGGACCCGCGUCUGAUUAGCUAGUUGGUAAGGUAACGGCUUACCAAGGCGACGAUCAGUAGCCGACCUGAGAGGGUGAUCGGCCACAUUGGGACUGAGACACGGUCCAAACUCCUACGGGAGGCAGCAGUGGGGAAUAUUGCACAAUGGGCGAAAGCCUGAUGCAGCAACGCCGCGUGAGCGAUGAAGGCCUUCGGGUCGUAAAGCUCUGUCCUCAAGGAAGAUAAUGACGGUACUUGAGGAGGAAGCCCCGGCUAACUACGUGCCAGCAGCCGCGGUAAUACGUAGGGGGCUAGCGUUAUCCGGAAUUACUGGGCGUAAAGGGUGCGUAGGUGGUUUCUUAAGUCAGAGGUGAAAGGCUACGGCUCAACCGUAGUAAGCCUUUGAAACUGGGAAACUUGAGUGCAGGAGAGGAGAGUGGAAUUCCUAGUGUAGCGGUGAAAUGCGUAGAUAUUAGGAGGAACACCAGUUGCGAAGGCGGCUCCCUGGACUGUAACUGACACUGAGGCACGAAAGCGUGGGGAGCAAACAGGAUCAGAUACCCUGGUAGUCCACGCCGUAAACGAUGAGUACUAGCUGUCGGAGGUUACCCCCUUCGGUGGCGCAGCUAACGCAUUAAGUACUCCGCCUGGGAAGUACGCUCGCAAGAGUGAAACUCAAAGGAAUUGACGG
rnacentral:rRNA from 1 species